UACGGAGGGUGCAAGCGUUAUCCGGAAUCAUUGGGUUUAAAGGGAGCGUAGGUGGCCUUAUAAGUCAGUGGUGAAAUCUCUGGGCUUAACCCAGAAAUUGCCAUUGAUACUGUAGGGCUUGAGUACAGUUGCUGUGGGCGGAAUAUGACAUGUAGUGGUGAAAUACAUAGAGAUGUCAUAGAACACCGAUUGCGAAGGCAGCUCACAAAACUGUAACUGACACUGAGGCUCGAAAGUGCGGGGAUCAAACAGG
rnacentral:rRNA from 1 species